UAAUCCUCUCGAAAUGCAAGAAGUAAUGUAAGUGUAGUGUGUUCAUGAUUACUUUAUUUCUAACUGCACUUUAAUGCAGGUUCAUAAAAAAUUUUCGCUUAAACUAAGCCCCAUUUACGUACGUCCUAAGUCUUUUGAAAGAGAAAGCAGCUCCUUAUUGCUCGUCAUCCAUAACCCUAGUUCACCGGCUAUCUUCUGUUUUAAGAUUUCUCGUGGAGGGAGGCUAUCAGCAUGGAGUGGGCAAGGAUUAUGACAUACCGAUGGCUCAGUCCACAUUUUGCUGCGUUUUAAAAGACGUAUUGGCGUUAUUACAAACUCAUAUUUGCCCACAUUGGAUAAAACUUAACUUAAGUGAUGACGAAAAACGGCAAGCAAAGAUUGACUUUUACCAAAAAAACGGGGUUUCCUGGAGUAGUUUUGUGAGUGGACGGGACUCAUAUUAAAAUAAUUUCUCCCACUGAAGCCAAAUUCUUGUAUUAUAACCGAAAAGGGCACUACAGCAUCAAUGCCAUUAUAAUUUGCGAUUACAAAAUCAAAAUCCGCUAUGUGAAUGCGCAGUACCCAGGAAGCAAUCACGAUUCCCAUAUAAUGAACGUCAGCAAUGCGAGAUGUUUCUUUGAGAGGAACUACUUAAAUGGUGAACGUAACAUUUGGAUUUUGGGGGAUGCUGGGUACUCCUUGGAACCAUGGUUGAUGACACCUUUCCCUUCACCUCCGCCUGGUAGCUCCGAAAGCCAUUACAGCAAGAUACACGCCAAAGCUAGAAAUAUUUUAGAAAGAAGAAUUGGUCUUUUAAAAUAUAGAUUUAGAUGUCUAUUACCUUGUUUAUACCGACACAUAAAGCACUUUG